AGUUUGAUCCUGGCUCAGGACGAACGCUGGCGGCGUGCCUAAUACAUGCAAGUCGAGCGGAUUUAUCCUUCGGGAUAAGUUAGCGGCGGACGGGUGAGUAACACGUAGGCAACCUGCCUAUAAGACUGGGAUAACUAUCGGAAACGAUAGCUAAGACCGGAUAACUGAUUUUCUCGCAUGAGAAAAUUAUGAAACACGGAGCAAUCUGUGGCUUAUAGAUGGGCCUGCGGCGCAUUAGCUAGUUGGUAGGGUAACGGCCUACCAAGGCGACGAUGCGUAGCCGACCUGAGAGGGUGAACGGCCACACUGGGACUGAGACACGGCCCAGACUCCUACGGGAGGCAGCAGUAGGGAAUCUUCCGCAAUGGACGCAAGUCUGACGGAGCAACGCCGCGUGAGUGAUGAAGGUUUUCGGACCGAAAAGCUCUGUUGCCCUAGACGAACAGCAAGAGGAGUAACUGCCUUUUGUGUGACGGUAUAGGAGAAGAAAGCCCCGGCUAACUACGUGCCAGCAGCCGCGGUAAUACGUAGGGGGCAAGCGUUGUCCGGAAUUAUUGGGCGUAAAGCGCGCGCAGGCGGUCAAUUAAGUUGGGUGUUUAAGCCCGGGGCUCAACCCCGGUUCGCAUCCAAAACUGGUCGACUUGAGUGUAGGAGAGGAAAGUGGAAUUCCACGUGUAGCGGUGAAAUGCGUAGAGAUGUGGAGGAACACCAGUGGCGAAGGCGACUUUCUGGCCUAUAACUGACGCUGAGGCGCGAAAGCGUGGGGAGCAAACAGGAUUAGAUACCCUGGUAGUCCACGCCGUANA
rnacentral:rRNA from 1 species